ACUCAAAUGAAUUGACGGGGACCCGCACAAGCGGUGGAGCAUGUGGUUUAAUUCGACGCAACGCGAAGAACCUUACCUGGGUUAAAUCCCAGUUGCAAGCCGUAGAGAUACGGCCCUCCCGCAAGGGACGGCUGGGAAGGUGCUGCAUGGCUGUCGUCAGCUCGUGUCGUGAGAUGUUGGGUUAAGUCCCGCAACGAGCGCAACCCUUACCAUUAGUUGCCAGCGAUUCGGUCGGGCACUCUAAUGGAACUGUCGGUGAUAAACCGGAGGAAGGUGGGGAUGACGUCAAGUCAUCAUGGCCUCUAUGUCCAGGGCUACACACGUGCUACAAUGGCCGGUACAAACCGCCGCAAACCCGCGAGGGGGAGCCAAUCGGAAAAAACCGGUCUCAGUUCGGAUUGCAGUCUGCAACUCGACUGCAUGAAGUUGGAAUCGCUAGUAAUCGCAGAUCAGCACGCUGCGGUGAAUACGUUCCCGGGUCUUGCACACACCGCCCGU
rnacentral:rRNA from 1 species